UUCCUCUCCCUGGUUCUCCAGGGGGGACUCGUGUCUGUGGACAGUCAAGAGCAACGGGGUGGGGGAGAAAUGGGCAAAUGCAGGGUUUCCAUCAGGAAAACCUUGUUCGAGUGUUCGGAGCGGUUGGCCAUUCCCUUCCCUGGCCCAUUUUACAAUGAGGAAACGGAGGCCGCCGGAGUGGAGUGACCCGCCCAGGGUCUCCGGGCUAGGAAGUGGCGGAGCCCCCAGCUGAACUCCUAAAGAGGCGUCUUCCCAAUUCCGAGGACCUUGCCAAGGAAGGGGGGGCGCCUCUUCCUUCCAAUCUCCCCCCAAACCCAUCUUGUGGCUCAGAAGUCGGGGAGCCCUGAUUAAGCACCUCAGAAUGAGCCACCCUCCCUCCGAGCGCCUGCCCAGCCAGCUGUGGAUCCCCCGGUGGGGCCAGCUAACGCCCUGGCGUGGACCCCACGAGAGCCCUCAGGGUGAGGCCCAGGGAAGGGGCCCCCUCCUUCCUUCCGUCUGUCCGCACCCCAGGCCUUCGCUUCGGGCCUUGCUCCCAUGGGCGACCAAAACGGCCGAUGGGCUGCCUCCUGGGUGGCCUCGGGGGUCACUCUCCGGGCCUCAGUUUCCUCCUGUGUAGGGCCUUCUGGAGGCCUAAAAUGUGCUCCUUUUGCCCUUGAACCCUAGAGGAGAAGGGCAGGCAAUGGGGCCACACUUGGACCUGGAACCUCCCCUCUCAGUCUGGCUCCAUCCACUGAGCCACGGUGCUGGCCCGAAUUCUGUCCAUUUAAUGGAGGCGGCCCGGACUGCGCAUGAUGAGGAUGGCUGGCAUUUACCCAGCACCGCCUGGGCGCCAUGCCAGGGCCUUGGAAACACCAUCUCUUUGGACCCUGCGAGCCCCGCCCUGUGGGGACCCCAUUUGACAGGUGAGGAAACUGAGGCAAAGAGCAUAAGGGCCUUCCCGAGGUCAUCGGGUCCUGGGCCUCCCUCCGACGGCCGGGUGCCUGACCAAGCUCCAAGCGCCCCACGGCGACCAACGUCUCUGAGGGCUCCGGCGGGGACAUGGGCUGGGCGGUGGCCAACCAGCCCUGAGAAGACACCCUGCACCCCUCAGGCUGGUGCUCGGUUCUGUUGCCCACACCCUGGCUGCAUGACCCUGGCCAAGUCACUUAACUUCAGAGCACCAGGUACCUCCGCCUCCCCACACCUAGUACAGCCCAGGGGACAAGGAGGGGGAGACAGGAGGAAGGGGAGGUCUGGGGAGGGGGAGGGGCACUGCCAGGGGAUUGGCCUCUGCCCAAGCCGGGACUCUCUUCCCACUCCUGGUGGGCUGGCAUUGGGGCCUCCCCUGCUGGGAGCUCCUGGAGGGGCUGGGGCUGGCACACAGUAGGGGCUUUAUAAAUGUCUGCCCACAAAGAGCCGACUGUGGGCUGAGGUCACACAGUGGGUAGUGCCGGUGCCCCUCUGUUAGCUCCUUCUGACUCAGUUUCCCCACGAUGCCGGUGAGGGGCCUGCGCCCUCUUUCCAUGGGGCAGCCGAGGGGGCGGGGCCUCACUUCUGGCAGGCUAUGAGGGGGGCCUAAAGCCUCGGGCUAGGGAGGGGGAGGGGCGGCCCCGGCCCUUUUCCUCAGCGGGAUCUGAACUCCACCGCCAGCGCCUCCGCAGCGCCCGUCUGGAGGGCCGCCCCAACCAAAAGGGGGAGCUGGAGAUCGGCCGCCAGACGCAGCAGGGAGCAGGGAGGAGCUUGGGAGCUGGCUAGGGCCGCCGGGCUUCCAGGGAUCCCUCAGUUUCAUUUCCCCCUGGAAACGCCCUGAAGCUCCUCUUCUUCGGCUUCCCAGAGGAGUUCCGUGGUGCCUGCCCCGUCAGAUUGGGAGCCCCUGGAUGGGCUUCACCAACAGCCCUUCCGGGAGAGCCCCGGCCCUUUCGUUCCUUCCCGUCCUUGCCUGCACGAUCAGACCAGUUUGGAGCCGACUCCCGCCCCGGACUUGGAAGAGGUGGAAGGGUGGAAGGAUGGAGCGCCUGGAGAGUGGCAGAGGCCCCCUCCCUCUUUCCAGGUUCGCCAAUAAAGCCUGAGGAAGCACCUACUACCCUGAGAGAACGCAGAUCCCGCUGCACACCAAGGGAGCCGGGAACGGAGGGAAGGGCCUGGGGUUGGCCAGGAGGCACAGAGAGGAGGGGGCCGGCUGCGAGUCCGGAAUGGGAUCCUAGAGCUGAGAGGGACGAGGGGGGCCAGUGACAGAAGCAGGACGAAUUACGGGGAGAAACCUGGGACCUGCACUCAGGCGGCCCAGGGGAGACCCAAACCCCGCCCAUUUGGGCCCGCCCUCUCAAUGCCCAUCCCCCCGGUUUCCAGCCUCUGCCACCCCAGAAUGCCCAGGGCUGGGCUAGUCUGGAAAACGGUGGAGACCGUCUGUAAAUAUGCAGCUUGGCCCACUCUACUAGCUCCCGGCCAGGAUGAGCUGGAGGAAGCCCGCCCACUGAACCGUCAGGCACACGGGCCACAGGUUUGCCAUCACUGCCCUGUCCACUUCACAGCCAAGGCAAUUAUCCCAGCUUAGAAACCUUCUGGAAAUCAAUUCUCCCGUACAUCUGCACCCAACGACUUUGAGCCUCCCAGUGCUGCCCGACACCCCACAACUGGGAGACACCGAGUAGGUCUUUUGGGUGGAGAGGGAUGGGUCAAAGGAAGCAAGGCGACAGGGCAUAGAGAGAAAUACAUUUCACUGUUUCACAUGAUCACACAUGUUUGCCCCAUAUCAGAGGGCGUCCAGUCUAGGGGGGAAGGGAGGCUCGAGGAGAGUUAGGCACUCAAAACUUUUGAAAAGAAUGUUUAAAAAAAUUUUUAUGUGCAAUGGGUGGGGGAGGAGAUGAUUUAAAAAGAGCAAAAAGCUCAUUACAAUUUACAAAGCGCUUUACUCAGGACCUGGAAAACUGGCAGUUGUGAUAUUCUUCUGAUUUUACAUUUAGGAUUAGUAAAGCAUAGCUAAUUAAAAAAAUAUUCUAUAAGAAAAGGAGGGAAAGAAGUGAAAGAAAGGGGGGAAGAGUUAUAAGCAAAGAGGUAAGAGGAAACAAAAUCAAAACUAGAAAAGAAUAGAAUGUAGGAAAAUAGACAAUUAACUAUUAUAACUGCAAAAGCAAAUGGAAUGAAUUCACCUAUACAAUGGAAGAUAGCAAAAUGGAUUAGAAACCAGAGUCUAUUAUAUUGUUUACAAGAAACAGAAAGAACAUGAAAGAAAAAUGAAAGAAACAAAAAGAACAGGAAAAGUUCAAACAAGGGACUAGAGUGGAAUAUUUUAUGCUUCAGCUGAAAUUACUAAAAAGCAGCAGUAAAUUGGCCAAUAUGGCAGUAAAGGAAAGUGAUAAAUGUUGGAGGGGAUGUGUCAAAAUUGGGACACUGAUGCAUUGUUGGUGGAGUUGAGAACUGAUCCAACCAUUCUGGAAGGCAAUUUGGAACUAUGCCUGUAAUAUUUAUUGGGAAAGGAAAUAGGAUUGGGAAAAAUGGGAGGUUUCUAUGGGGUAUGGAGGAGUUAAGGGGAGAGAGGGAACACUGUUUGGUGAAGCAGGGGAGGGAGAUGCACCCUACUGAGAGGAAACAGCAGGGGUCCGAUAAGGUUUUUUAUUGCCUUGAUGACUGAAAAGAAGUUCAGCUCCCUCUAUGACCAGAAAAGAUAGUCCACUUAUCUGACUGCGAAUUUAAAUAAUAUAAAGUUUAAUAAUCCAGUUGGAAUUGGAGUUUUUCCUUAGCUUCAGAGUAUAGGGCCAGGCCCUAGAGGCUGGCGGAGGGUUUGUCCCACUCCUAUCUACUCUCGUUGUUCUAAUUCAGAAUCUUAGCAAUAGACAGAAAGCAAAUAAGAACAAUUCUAACCUUUAGAAGCCUGUGUCUUUGGGCUGAACCAAGAAGAGCAUGCCACUCCAGACUGGGCUGAACAAGCUCCUCUCUCCUCCAACACCAGGACCCCCAGUCUCCCCGGCAGGAAGGAAGAGCUAGUCCCAACACCCAACUGCCACUCCCAGUUGGUCCCUUCCCCCACAAACUGUCAGUCUAAUUUCCUUUCCACAUGCCCAAAGAGCUUUAAAACAACAUACCCUUUGAUCCAGGAAUACCACUACUAAAUCUAUAUCCCAAGGAGAUUUUUUUUUAAGGGGAGAGGGAAAAGGACCUUCUUACACAAGAAUAUUUAUGGCAGCUCUUUUUGUGGUAGCAAAGAAUUGGAAAUUGAGGGGAUGCCCAUCAGUUGGGGAAUGGCUAAACAAAUUGUAGUAUAUGGUGGUGAUGGAAUAUUAUCAUGCUAUAAGCAAUGAUGAACAAAAUGAUUUCAGAAAGAGCUGGAAAGACCUUCUGGAAUUGAUACAGAGUGAAAUAAACAGAACCAGGAGAACACCGUCCAUAGUAACAACAUCAUUGCAGAAUCAUCAGACUUCGUUACCCUCAGCAUACGAUGAUCUAGGACAAUUCUGAAGGACUUAUGACAAAGAAUGCUAUCCACCUCCAGAGAAAGAACUGUGGGAAUUGGAUACAGAUCAAAGCAUAUAUUUUUCGCUUUAGUUUAUUUGUUUUUUUUUUUAUUUUGAGGUGUUGGUUCUCUAUGAGUAUUCUCCUACAACCAUGAACAAUAUGGAAACGUGUUUUGCAUGAGAAUACAUGAUUAACCCAGAUAAAAUUGCUUACUAAUUCUGGGAGGGAGGAGAGAAGGGAGGGAGGGAGACAAUUUGGAUCAUAUAACAUCAGAAAACUUAUGUGGAAAAUUGAUAUUACAUGUAAUUGGUAAAAUAAAAUAUUUUAAUUAAAAAAAAUUUUAAGCAGGGGUAAACAACCAUGAGCUCCAAUAAAGCAAUAGUAAUAAUAGGCCUAAUUAAAAGAGAUUAGCAGAAAUACCUUGUGCUGAAAGUUUUCAUAGACAAUGAGGCACCAAAUGGCAUAGAAUCAAAAUUCUUUUUUUAAUGUAUUUAUUUUAAAAGUAUUUCCCCAUGAUUACAUGAUUCAUUUUCUCUCCCUCACCCUUCCCGGAGAUGACAAGCAAUUCCACUCAGUUAUACAUGUAUUAUCACUCAAAACCUAUUUCCAUAUUAUUCAUUUUUGUAAUACUCUUUUAAAAACCAAGGCCCCACAUCCAAAACCCAUAUAAACAAAUGAAAAAUCAAAUGUUUUCCUUCUGUGUUUCUGCUCCCACAGUUCUUUCUCUGGAUGUGGAGAGCUUCUUUCUCGAAAGUCCCUCAGGAUUGUCCUGGGUCAGUGCAUUGCUGCUAGUAGAGAAGUCAGUUACAUCAGAUUGUGCUACAAUGUAUCUGUCUCUGUGUACAACGUUCUCCUGGUUCUGCUACUCUCACUCUGCAUCACUUCCUGGAGGUCGUCCCAGUUCACAUGGAGUCCCUCCAGUUCAUCAUUCCUUUGACCCCAAUAGUAUUCCAUCACCAACAGAUGCCAUGUGUUCAGCCAUUCCCCAAUCAAAGGGCAUCCCCUCGUUUUCCAGUUUUUUGCCACCACAAAGAACAGAGCUAUGAAUAUUUUUGAACAACCCUUUUUGAUGAUCUCUUUAGGAUACAGUAGUGGUAUUACUGGCUCAAAGGGCAGGCAGUCUUUUACAGCUCUAUAAUUCCAAACUGCCUUCCAGAAUGUUAGGAUCAGUUCACAACUCCACCAGCAACAUGUCAGUGUCCCAAUUUUGCCACAUCCCACCCAACAUUUAUUAUUUCCCUUUACUUUCAUAUUGGCCAAUCUGCUAGGUGUGAGGUGGUACCUCAGAGUUCAAUAAAAUGUUUAAUAAUCCUUUUUGGACACUCAGAUCCCUGUUCUUCCCCUUCCUCCCAGCCCUUCUCUCUCCACAAGAAGCCAGGGUAUCUGAUAUAGGUGGUACAUAUGUCCUCAUACAAUACCUAUUUCCAUGAUCAUCCUGCUGGGAAAGAAGACCUGUUGCUUCCACUCAAAAACCAUGCGCAGAGGAAACCAAGUGAACAGAAUGCUCCAAUCUGCGUUCAGGCUCUGUUGUGGGAGUCCCCUGGACCAGCGCCUUGCUGCCAGCCAAGCCUUUCACAGCUGAUCAUCAGAUGGGAUUGCUCUCAAUGUGCACACUCUUCUGGUUCUGCAUACUCCCCUUGGAGCCUCUUCAAGUUAAAUCAUUCAAUGCCGACUUCUUCCUUGCUGAAGGCAUUGGUCACCCUGAAGGAAAACAACAUGCUAAGAGGCCUGAGAGCAAGCACGUAGCCCUUCUUCCCUCUGCUGAUGACUGGGAAAGCCCAAGGUCCGUUAUUCAGGACUUGUGUGAGUGUGCUGGUCUGGACUGGCACAGAAUUUUUUUUCAGAUUGUGAGUUCCCAAAUUCUCUUCUCUUUUUCUUCCUGGAAUAUAAUCCUAUUGAACUUCUCUGGGCAACCCAGUGGUGCUAUAGCCUUCCCCAAGCCCUCACGACGGACAGUAUCAAAGGCUUUGGUCAAUCGCUAAAUGUCCUCACAGCCCUCCAUUUUGCUUCAGCAGCAAACACCGUUUGGACUGUUUCUUGGCCCUUUUUGAGGUCACACAUGGCCUAACACUUCCCUCCACGUGCCGACAUCAGAAGCUCCAAAUGGUUCAGAUGUACAUAAGGGGCGCCAUUAGAAGCAAAUCAGAUGAGCAAGGAGGAAGCUACCUGUCGCAGCUACGGAGAGACACGAAUUCAUGACAGACCGCCAAAGAAGGAGACCCACAGCAGGCCAAACGGGCAAUCGGAUUACAUGAAGGCAGAGAGGGAAGCAAAUCAAGGGGGAGAAAAUCUCUGCCGAGCAGCGCCGUUGAGCCCAGCCAUCCCCUAACCGAGGGGGGCGGAAUCAAGGCUGACCCGUGCUGGUUUUCCACGUGGCGUGGCGGGAGAGGGAAUUUAUAAACACAAACAUUCCAAACAAUCUAUGUAGAGUCCUAAGUCUGUGUGUAAUCGUAACCCUGCUCUGAGGGAAAAGGACAGGCAGAGAGAGAGGAAAAGGAGAUGGAGGGAGAGGGAAACGGAGCCCUGCGGGGUGACGGAGAAAGAACUGGCUUGGUCCGGGCUCUAACGUCUCCCCAGGCACCUACUAGCUACUGCUUGCUGCCUCUGGCCUCAGGGACCUGCCUGUCAGUCCCUUCCAGGGGAGGAGGAGGGUCCCUACUAUCCCGUGGUCUAGAGCGUCGAGCUCAGGGAGAACGAGAGCUGAGGACGGGCUGCUGGGCCUAGCAACAAGGCGCCGUGGGGGCCUUUGGGGCGCUGGCCACAAAUGAAGAUCAUUCCUUGGAGCGUGGCUGUGAAAAGGGGGAGACAGGAAGAGAGCUCGUGGCGGGGGCGUGUCUGAAAGAUGGAGGGCGCAGCAGCACGCAUGUAGGCGGUAGGUCAGGGCCGUGGGAAGGGGCAAACAGAAAAUGGCAGGAGGGGGCCCGAGGCACAUGCGGAGACGCCUGUGGCCAUGGCAAGGCGCAGGGUCAGCCCUUCUUGGAGACUGGAGCCACGGCAGGAGGGAGUUAAUGCGGGGGGGGGGGGGGGCUGAGACGGGCAGAGGGGAGCUCACAGGGGAAGCCUCUCAUCUCUGAGGCAAGAAUGAAGCCCCUUGGCUGAGGGGGAAAGCGGCGUGGACAGAGAUGGGCUCUCUACACGGGGGGUGGGGCUGUGCCCCUUCCCCACCCCUCCCUCUCCCCGUCACCACGGAGGACACUCUAAGGUUGGGUCGUCCACCCCGGAGCCACGUGAGGACACAUCUCCGACCUCUGUGAGCUCCCAGCAAGACGGCGCUUGGCGGUCCUGUUCUACUCGACUCGCUGUGCUCCUGGGAGGUGGGUGCUACUAUCAUCCCCAUCCUCCAGAUGAGGACACCGAGGCCAAGUGCUUAGAGCCGAGGCGGGAUGGGAACCGCGGUCUCCCCGACCCCAGGCUCCAUCCAUCCUGCCAAGCAGCCGCCUCUCCGUGGUCUUGGCACGUGGCACCCCUGGGCUGGGGCAUCCCUGGGCCGGGCGCCAGGGCUAAGGGUCCCCAGUGUCCGUGGACAGCUCUUUCGUUCCUCCUUGGACCUCUCCGUCCUUCCUGACAUCCUCGCUGGCAGUGGAGACCCCGUGAGAGAGCUGGGCCGCCCUGGGCCUGCCCCUGCCGCCCCGUCUUCUCUGAAUUCUUUGGGGACCCCAAUGGAACACGUGGGCCGUCCGUGCGCUCUUCCUUGCUCUGGCAGCACAACCAGAGCCUCAGACCCUUAACGUGGCUUCUUUAACUCGUUUCCCUUUUGUCCUGGAAUCCAUUUUAAGACAGAAGGACAAGGGCCAGACAAGGGGGGCCGAGUGACUUGCCCAGGGUCACACAGCCAGGAAGUGUGAGGCCAGAUGGGAACCCAGGAGCUCCCGCCUCCAGACCUGGUGCUCGGCCCACUGCUCUUCUUCUCCCACGUCUUGGACGGAGUGCGAGUCCUGCACGCUCGCACCUGGGGCUCCCCGUGGCAGCCAGGGCAGCCGAGCCCUCCACGUGGGCUUCCUGGAAGAGCUCCUCUGUGGCUGCAAGGCCACGCACGGCCACGAGCCCCCAGCAGGAUUACGGGGCCGCCCGGUCCCUGCCGGCCCGAGGCGGCCAGAGGUUCUUCGCUCCCCGGACCCUGCCGGGCGCGCUGCCAACGACUCGAGCCAGAAGCGAAGGCGGCCGGCCGGGAAGCCUUGGAGCGAGGACUUGAGGCGUCUGAAGGUGGAGGAAGCCGAGAGAAGGGCUGGCUGGGGCCAGGCGGCCUGAGCUGGGUGCGAGCCGGGCGGCUGCCAGGCCUGCGUCCGGCCCUCGCGCAAACACUGACUCGGCACCUCUCGCUUCCCGGGAACGACCCAACGGGACGGCGGGAGGCCGAGCCCUGGGGCCACCCUGGGCCCCUCCCACGCCGGGCAGCGAGCUCUGGGGGGAGACCCUCAGAGGGGUCCCCCGGCCGGCCAUCCUGCCCUCUAUCAACUUCAUUGGGGCUCCUGCUUGCCUGGGCCCGUGUCCAAUAAGGAGUGUUCUUGUCCCCCUCAGACCUGCCCCUGGGCCUGACAGGAGGGGAAACUGAGGCAUGGAUUCGCCCAGGUCUACACGGCUAGUGAGGGUUUGAGGUGGGUGUCUGCACCCCCCAGGGCCCAGGCCUUGGGUGCUGUAGGCCUGGGCACACGUGGAGGGUGUCUGUGCCAUCUCCAGGGGGGCCAGAGCCCCAGAGGGGUCCCUGGGGGCCCCCCCGGGGCUCAGAGGUCAAAGCAGGAAGGAGGAGCAAAGCCUUGGAGUGGCCCGACAAGGCGCAGCCACGUCUCACGGGACCCUCACGAGCACCUGCCGGCGGCGCCCAGAGAGGACCGACUCGCUUCGGCUCGCACGGCCGGCUUUGAACCCGCCUGCCCGGCACGCUUAGUCUGUCCGCUGGCCUGAGCGCGUCACCCCCGGAAACGCCUGUAUCUGGGCCGACGGACGCCACUGGUGGGGGCAGCCUGCAGGGCGCCCGGCUGAGAGACGGGGCCGAGACGGGGCCGCUCUUCGUUUUGCUCUCCUUCCCCCGCACAGGGCUGCCACCGGCGCCCCCACCCCACGCUCUGUGGCUUCCCGUGGCCGGCCCUGCCUCACUCGUCACGUCUGUUGGCUCCUGAAGCACCUGAAGAUGUAGUUCAAGGAGGAACUUGGGCUCAGCUGGGUGACCCUGGGCAAGUCAUUUGCCUUGAAAUGACCCUUUGCUUCCCGUGUCCAGGGUUGUUGUGAGGACGUAUAAAGAGGCCAGGCAAGCCUUCCCCUUAUCGGAGGCACCAGGGCAGUAGAGGCGCGCUUUCCCCUCUGCCCACGUCUACAAACGGUCCUCCUGCAGCCCCGGCCUCCAACGCUGCCCAAGUGCCCGCUGCGUGCCCAGCUCUGGGGAUACAAAUCCAGAAAGCCCAAAGGCAGUCUGUGCACGCCCUGGAGGAGGCGCACGUACCCCACCGGCCACGGCUGCCCAGGGAGCUGAGGUGCCGGCCGUCGAGCCCAGAGAGAUGCCAGCUUCCCGGGGGAAGCCAAGGAGAUGGAGAAGAGAUCCCCUCUCCUCUUCCUCCUCCUCCCCUUCCUCCCCCUCCCCCCUCCUCUUCCUCCUCCUCCCCCUCCCCCCCUCCUCUUCCUCCUCCUCCCCUCCCUCCCCCUCCCCCCUCCUCUUCCUCUUCCUCCUCCUCCCCUUCCUCCUCCUCCUCCUCCUCCCCUUCCUCCUCCUCCCCUUCCUCUUCCUCCUCCUCCUGGGGAAGGCAGCUCUCUGUGUCUUCUGAAUGCCAUUCUCGCUCGCUCGCUUGGUGGCAUCCCCUGAAGGACUCUGCCUCUCACGCCUACCCAGCAUGCUGAGCCCCGGCCCUACCUUCCCCUCUACCCCUCACGGCAGCCUUGACGUCGUCCUCUUUCCCGGGUCGACUUGAGCGAUGCUUUGGGUAACGCUCUGGUGAUUCGAUGAACCUAAUAUUGAUCUGGAGACUCCGACUGUGGCUAUUGCCACGACCUACCUGAGGUCAAAGCUGGCCCCGGGAAAGUCACUGAAUCCACUUGCCUCAGUUUCCUCAUCUGUAAAAGUGAUCCUAAUAGCACCUGAGAUCAUUGUAAAGUGCUUAGCACAGUGUUUGGCACACGAGGGCUAUAUUAACGUGGCUGCUCAGUCACGUCCACGUCUUCCUGACCCCAUGGACCGUGCUGGAGCAGCUGGCCAUUUUCUUCCCAUGAAGCGGCUGCCCAGGAUCACACAGCAAGCAAAUGUCUGAGUCCUGCUUUGAACUCAGGUCAUCUUGAUCCCAGGCCUGCCCUCCUAUCCACUGAGCCACUUAGCUGCCUCGGAGGUAAACAGAGAAAUGACUUGCCCAACGUCACACAGCUAAUGAGUGUCCACGGUCACAUUUGAACUCGGGCCUUUGUGCCCGACUCCGGAUCCAGUGGCCUCUCCACUGAGCCAUCCGGCUGCCCCAUAGGACAGUCAGCUAGUUUUCCACACAAGGUUUUAGACACUUUGGUCUGCUUGUUUCCUAACUUAACAUGAUUGAAAUAAACGAUCAUAGCAAAAAGCCAAACCCAAAGUGGCCUUUAUUACUAUUCCUCCACGUAGCGGGUCUCCCUUGAGGUCGGUGGACACUGCCUGAUGUUCGUCAGCAGCUCAGCUUCCAAAGAGCGAGUGUAGUUUGGCUACUUUCUAUCAGUUCUUCCUUGGGGAAGAAAUCGAACCGUCACAGAGAAAAUGCUCCAAACCACUCAUGAGCAGAGAACUAACUGCAAACAACUCAUUAGAUUGGCUCAGCGGAGAGAAAAGUGGGUGUCGGGGGGAGAUGUAGAAAAAUGGGGCCACUCUUGUGCUCUUCCAGCCAUCCUGGAGAAGGCCAUCAGCCAGACGUGCUCUCGCUAGUAGCUUCAGAUCCCAAAGAGACCAAAGGAAAAGGAGAAGCGCCGGAUGCACAAAGGCUUUGAUGGCAGUUCCUGUUGGCCUUUGCAAUGUGGAAAUGGAUGGAUGCCUGGGUUGGGGCAUGGCUGAGCAAGUCGUGGUAGAGAAGCGAGAUGGACUACCGCGGGGCCUCGGAGGAGGAGGGCUGUCAGCAAAUCCUGAACAGAUGCAGAGUGAAGCGAGCAGAACCAGAGAAGGUUGUUCCCGGUGAUCAACUGUGAGAGGCUUCAUGAAGCAGAUAAAAGACCUGCCUAAGCUCCAGGCAGACUGACUUCCUGAGGCACACUCAAGCAUGUUUUCCUCCCUUUAUUCUUCUUGGUGGUCCAACUCGUGCCCUGGAAAUGUUUUACAUGGCUUCACAUGUAGAACAGGGCUUCUAUUUCUUGCAUUUUCCCUGGGUAAAGGAGGGGCUGGAAAUAACGAUUUAAAAACAUCCCUUGUGUUUGUAGGUAACACACAGAAACGCCUACGCUUGGGGAUCACUUUGUAUUCUACUUUUCUAAUCUUAUUAAACAGUUACUGAAGUCA